GUCCCUUCGAUGCCUAAGUUAGUGAUACCCGAGGUAUAAAAAAAAUAAGAGAGAAUAUAUUUAUGCCCAAGUUUUUCAUAUUAUCAACAAUUCAGUUAAAAGACAAUUACGAGAGUGGCACAAUCACUUGUUGGACAUCGGGGACCGGCGGCUUGGGCAGCGAGCUGCUCCGGGACUUGGCCUUGUCCGGAUUCAAGAGCAUCCAAGUCAUUGACAUGGACACCAUCGAGACCUCCAAUCUCAGCCAUCACUCCCUCUUCAGGUCUCGGGGAUUUAUAAUCUGCGGCGGGUUACCUUUGUUUGUGGGGGCUUCAGGAUGUUGGGAAGUCCAAGGCCGAAGUAGCAGCUGAGAGUGUUGUGAAAAGAAUUUGCAGGCUGAAUAUUAAUCCUCAUUUUUGAAGGAUUGAGGAUAUGGGACAUAGGCUUCUAUAUUGAUUUCAAUAUACUUGUCCUUGGUCUUGAUUGGAUUGAAGCUCGGAGCUACAUAAAUUGUCUUGCUCGUUCAUCAGUCUAUUUGGUGAUCAUCCUAGGCUGCUUCUGUCAAAAGCUAGUGUCACAUAUCGAGGCAAAAAUCUUUACUAGAAGAAAUGACACGAUUAAAUCUACUGCUUUUCCUAUUUGACCCAAUGGGUAAAGUAACAAAGGACACCAUUCAUGUCAGUGGGACAUCUGAAAUAAUUGACUAGAAAAGAUCAUGCGUGAGGAAACUGCAUGUUCUCUUUGAAGGGGUUACGGAUGGAAUUACAAACAUGGAUAUGAGUGGUAGCUCAUGAAUUUUCUCAAUGAUCAUGCCUACCUUCUUAAUCCAUUUGGGAUUUGCGUAAACAUGUUCUGGCUUUCAGGAAUCAGGAAGCUGUCACGUUGUCUUUGGUGUUGUACGGAAACGAUUUUGCAUAAUGAGAUUUUUCAGCCAUCUUCCAGCCUCACAUAUUUGAUGCUUAACUCAUACUCAUAAUUUGGCCAGAAAGAGAAAGACCACAAGGAUAAUAACUUUUGGCCUGGCUGGUAGGUGAUGUGGGGUCUUACCAUUCAGCCAAGUUAAAAUUUUUUUUUUUGGAAACUCUUAUGGAACAGACUUCCUACUUCAACCUAUUUUUCUAAGUUCUUACACUGCCAACCGAAGCCUUGUCCUUUGCAUCGUUCCAAUUUUAUCGGAUGUCUCCGAAGAGAUCAAAGCCUUGUCCUAUGUGUAAUAUCUAUUUGUAAUCUGUUUACUGAUUCAGUCUCUCGUAUUUUCUUUGAGUGUAAGCAUGCAUUGGAGUUAUGGGAUAAGGUCCAAUUCCAUGUUGGGGUGGUCUUCAUGUUUUUUAACAAAUGGGCGAGCAAAUGGGGUCAUCUGCUAAGUAUCAUUGCAAACUCUCUCUGGCACCUAUCGUUGGUUCGGAACAAUGCCAACAGUGUAUCAAUCUGGAGGAAGAUAGUUGCUGCUACCAAUGACCAGUUCUGUCUAUCCAGGGACUCAAAAAAGAGUUCAUGCGGUUAGAAACUUUGAGUGCAAGGAGGGUUUCCUUGUAGAUUAUGAUGGUUCUUUUUUUUGUCUUCAGUUUGUGCAGGAACAGGUUAUUCCAUGCUGGAUGGGCAACGAUGGUUGAUGGCUGUGAGAUUUGCAAAAAGGUACGUGAUAUCACCUAUCCAGGCUGAAGGGGCAGCGCUGCUAGCGGAUCUAACACAUGCUAAGAAGAUGAACCUAACUAACAUGUGGAUACGCUCGAAUUGUCAGGAUCUUGUAAAGAUGGUCAACGGAUCUAUUUCUGUACCUUGGCUUAUUAGGUUCAUGUUUGCUGAUAUUAAGCUGUUGUCUGCUGAGGUCAACACCAUUAGUUUUGACCAUGUAUGUGCUUAGGGAGGAGCUCAUGGGAUGUUAUGACCAGAGAAAAACCCUCCAAGUUUUGUUUGGUCCUAUCUUUCUUUCAAAUGAGUAAUCAAUACAAGUU